rnacentral:lncRNA from 1 species
GCCAGAGCCACCGCAGGCAUCACCAGGGCCCUAUCCUGCCAGGGCAGGGCCAAGCCGCAAGGAGCAGCGAGGUGUGUGGUCAUGGAACCUCGGUUCCAAAACCAGCAACACACAGACACACACAUACAGAGGUCCUGGGAGUCAAACAAAGCGGUCCAGCUUGGCCGUUUGAAUCGCAAGGUAAUCCUUGACUGCAUCUCCAGUUCAUGGCCAGCCUGGUGGUGUACUUAACUAUACCCUUAGAGCCAAGCAGAUGCCAUCUUGGGGAGUUCAGCUGUAUCCACUUACAAAAAAAUUACCCCAGCUGGACUUUUUGACUGUUUGCAUCUCCUCACGGAAGACCCUCACCUGAGUAUCCACUGGUUCCCUAUAAUUUAUUGUGUGCAACUCUGCCUUAAUUUCACAUGGCUUGACUGGAGGGCAGAGAGAGGGGAGAAGAGACUAGGAGAGAGGUAUCUAUCUAUGCAGCUAUGCGAAAACCCUCACCCUGCUGGCCAAAUCUUUUUUUUUUUUUCUUUUUUUGAGACAGGGUUUCUCUGUGUAGCCCUGGCUGGCCUCGAACUC